GACGAACGCUGGCGGCGUGCUUAACACAUGCAAGUCGAACGGAAAGGCCCUGCUUUUGUGGGGUGCUCGAGUGGCGAACGGGUGAGUAACACGUGAGUAACCUGCCCUUGACUUUGGGAUAACUUCAGGAAACUGGGGCUAAUACCGGAUAGGAGCUCCUGCUGCAUGGUGGGGGUUGGAAAGUUUCGGCGGUUGGGGAUGGACUCGCGGCCUAUCAGCUUGUUGGUGGGGUAGUGGCUUACCAAGGCUUUGACGGGUAGCCGGCCUGAGAGGGUGACCGGCCAUAUUGGGACUGAGAUACGGCCCAGACUCCUACGGGAGGCAGCAGUGGGGAAUAUUGCACAAUGGGCGGAAGCCUGAUGCAGCAACGCCGCGUGCGGGAUGACGGCCUUCGGGUUGUAAACCGCUUUCGCCUGUGACGAAGCGUGAGUGACGGUAAUGGGUAAAGAAGCACCGGCUAACUACGUG
rnacentral:rRNA from 1 species